AGAAUGGGGUCCCCAGUCUGGGGAUAAAGAUGAUUUGGGCUUGGUAUAAAACAAUACUAUAAGCUCCCAUUUAUUGAACUCUUAUGAAGUGUGAUAAGCCGUCUGAGGCUCUGAGGUAAGCUACCUCCCCAUCCCUCACGGCAAUCCUAUGAGAAAUGUCCUGCUAUCCUCGGAGACGGCCCGUUGCCGCUCAAGGUUCUGGAGCAUUCUAGUGGAGAGUGCCGACAGGAAUUGUGUUCAGGGCCUAGGGACUGGCUGGACAGCAGUGGGUGCUGAAGGUUCAGCAUGUGGGUGAGUUCACUCUGGGGGUGUGCAGAGGGGCAGAGGUGAGGUGGUGGUGCCAAGCUGAAGGAGGCCGAUCCUGAGCCAGCUCCCACUCUCAACC